rnacentral:rRNA from 1 species
AUUGAACGCUGGCGGAAUGCUUUACACAUGCAAGUCGAACGGCAGCACGGGGGCAACCCUGGUGGCGAGUGGCGAACGGGUGAGCAAUACAUCGGAACGUGCCCAGUCGUGGGGGAUAACUACGGGAAACCGUAGCUAAUACCGCAUACGAACUCUGGUUGAAAGCGGGGGAUCGCAAGACCUCGCGCGAUUGGAGCGGCCGAUGGCAGAUUAGGUAGUUGGUGGGGUAAAGGCUCACCAAGCCAACGAUCUGUAGCUGGUCUGAGAGGACGACCAGCCACACUGGACUGAGAC